UAGGGAAUCUUCCGCAAUGGGCGAAAGCUUGACGGAGCAACGCCGCGUGAGUGAUGAAGGUCUUCGGAUCGUAAAACUCUGUUAUUAGGGAAGAACAAAUGUGUAAGUAACUAUGCACGUCUUGACGGUACCUAAUCAGAAAGCCACGGCUAACUACGUGCCAGCAGCCGCGGUAAUACGUAGGUGGCAAGCGUUAUCCGGAAUUAUUGGUCGUAAAGCGCGCGUAGGCGGUUUUUUAAGUCUGAUGUGAAAGCCCACGGCUCAACCGUGGAGGGUCAUUGGAAACUGGAAAACUUGAGUGCAGAAGAGGAAAGUGGAAUUCCAUGUGUAGCGGUGAAAUGCGCAGAGAUAUGGAGGAACACCAGUGGCGAAGGCGACUUUCUGGUCUGUAACUGACGCUGAUGUGCGAAAGCGUGGGGAUCAAACAGG
rnacentral:rRNA from 1 species